rnacentral:lncRNA from 1 species
CUUUGGUAGCCUCCUUACUUGCUCCACUUGCUUCAGAGAGAGAAGUGCGGGUUUGCGGUUUAGUGAAGGAGCAAGGCUCAUGUGAAUAGAAGAAUCCAAGGUAGAGCAGGAAGAGAAAUCCAGCUAGAGAAAGAGGUGGAAGUCAAAAUAAGUAGACUCUUAUUUUAAAUUUUUAAUGGCUUCUUGGUGGCUUCAAGAUAAAAGAUAGACAAUGAGGAGCUUUGUGUUUGGGAAAAGAAUAAAAGUCAACUGUAGCAAAACCUCUCAGAAGUAGGAUUUAUAAACAGUUCUCAAAGGAUGCACAUGAAAAUGUAAUUUCUUGGGAAAGUGGCAAACAGAAAAGAAUCAAACCGCAGUUGUGUGUGGCAAGGAUAAAUAUGCAACGCACCAUCAAUAGGAUUUGUUGGGUGAAUAAAAAAGCCUUUUAGCCAACAAUAUGUAAGCAGAAGAAUGGAGCAGGAGUUAGAGAGAACCCUCAAGCAAUAAUGGAGGCCACUGGAGAGGCAAGACUGCCAAAGGCUAAGUUAUUGACCCAGUAUUUUUAAAACUGCCUCCGAAAAGAAGCCUGAACGAAAGAAAAUAAUUUGUGCUAUUAGAAUGUAUUUUUCCUUUGUGUUCCUAUCUACUUCCUUCACAAGCUAUUUUUGGAUGACAGGAUGGAGUCUCCAGCUGUGAAAGUGUUGCUGCAGACAGCCCUCAGCUUCCAGUUCUUGUAAAAAUGGCCUCAGCUUCAGAGAGCUCCAUUACCCAAGCUCAUUCAUUUCCUGGGGUGUUCUGCAUCCAGUGAGUGUUCUGUGGACUUGCCAGAACACUCACUUUUGGAACCUGGCCACCAUGUUGGAAGGAAUCCCAGAGCACAUGAGGAGGCCUUUUGGGGGUGUUCCAGCUGACAGCCUUAGCUAAGGUCUUAGCUAAUAGUCAGCAUCAACUGCUGGCAAGUGAACAAGGCUUCAGAUGAUUCCAGCCCUCAGCUUUCCAGCUGAAAACAUUGUAAAGCAAAUACAGCCAUUUCCACUUUGCCCUGUCUGAAUUCCUGACCCACAGAAGCCAUGAGAGAUAACAAAUGAUUACUAGUGCUUUAAGCCACCGGGUUUGGGAAUCAUUUCUUAUGUAUCAAUAGAUUACAGCAAAUGUCAAAAAACUAUAGAUAAAGUUAGGAUGAUAAUUCAGCACAGUUGCUAGAUACAAAAGUCAAUAUUGAAAUCAAUUCUAUUUCUAUAUACUGGCAACAUACAGAAGUCAAAUUUAAAAUUUACAAUAGUAUAAAAAUAUAAUUAUCUAAGAACAAAUAUAACAAAAUCAUAUGAGUCCUUCAAAGAGAUAAUCACAGAACUCAAUUAAAAUAUACUGAAAAAGACCCCAAAAAGGAGAUAUGCAAGAUAUAUAUUACACUCAUGGAUUCACAGAAUUAAUAUUGUGUAGAUACCAAUUACCUCAAAAUUGAUGUACUAUAUUGUACCAACCAAAUCACAAUCACUUAGUAAUGUGUUGAGCUGAUUUUAGAGUUCAUAAGAGAAUUGAGAAGUCUAAGAAUAGCCAUGGCCUUCUGGAAGAACAAGGUGAGUAGUUGGUCUCCAGAUUAUAAAGAUAAAGGACUAUAACAGAGUUACUGGUGCAAGGACAGAAACAUUAGCAAAUGGAGCACAGCAGAAAGCCUGGACACUGGCCUGCAUAGAUAUUGAAGCUUUAGAUACAGCAGAUGUGGUAUUGUAGCCACAUGUGAUGAUGUGAACUGAUGGAUUUUUCCACGAAUGUCAUAGAACAAUUUGGUAUCCAUAUUGAACAAAAAAUGAAAUUAAAUCCUCCUACAGAGAAACCAAUUCCUGGUGGAUUAAGAACUAUAUGUGAAAGGUUUAAAAACACAGAUUUUAAAAACAAGAUAGAAAAAUAUUUAUAAACUCAGUGUAGAAAAGGGUUUUUUUUUCUUCUUAAAAAUAGUCUAAAACCCAUGACCCAACUAAGAUUGGUCAAUGUGACUGCAUUAAAAUUACGAAUUGUAUUCAUCAAAAGAAUCUCUAUAGCUUACAGAUGAAAUAAUACCCUGUGACUUGCUUCAGAACAAUUUAGUGGAGCCAGUGGAGAGGGAAAGGUGUAUAUCUGACUCAAAGGGAGCCUGAGAUGGUGGUCAUUGUGACGAGGCAAUGUUCAUAAUAGCAAAAACUGGAAAUAACCAAAAUGCCCAUGAAUAGUAGAAUAGACCAAAAAAAUGGCGUAUUCACACAAUGUAACCAUAGAGCAGUCAAAAUGAACCACAGUUAUGUGCAUCAGUAUGAGUGGUUCUCAUCUGGAGAACAAGAAACAAACCACAGGUAAUCUAUUCACUAAGAUUCAAAAACAGAGAAAACUAAAUGACAUUUGUUGAGAGAUUUAUACAUGGUUGGUAAAAUGAUGGUUACAACAUUGUAUGUAGUGGUUAUCUCAAAGAAGGCACAAAGAUAGAGACAAAGGGGCUUCUACAUUACUUACCAAAUUAUAUUUCUUUUCUUUUUUGAGACAAAGUCUCACUCUGCUGCCCAGGCUGAGCGCAGUGGUGC